rnacentral:rRNA from 1 species
AUUGAACGCUGGCGGUAUGCUUAACACAUGCAAGUCGAACGGCAGCAUGGUCUAGCUUGCUAGACUGAUGGCGAGUGGCGGACGGGUGAGUAACGCGUAGGAAUAUGCCUUGAAGAGUGGGACAACUUGGGGAAACUCAAGCUAAUACCGCAUGUACUCGAGAGAGUAAAGCUGGGGACCUUUAGGCCUGGCGCUUUAAGAUUAGCCUGCGUCCGAUUAGCUAGUUGGUAGGGUAAAGGCCUACCAAGGAGACGAUCGGUAGCUGGUCUGAGAGGAUGAUCAGCCACACUGGAACUGAGAGACGGUCCAGACUCCCACGGGAGGCAGCAGUGGGGAAUAUUGGACAAUGGGGGGAACCCUGAUCCAGCAAUGCCGCGUGUGUGAAGAAGGCCUGAGGGUUGUAAAGCACUUUCAGUGGGGAGGAGGUUUGGAAGGUUAAGAGCUAUUCAAAUGGACGUUACCCACAGAAGAAGCACCGGCUAACUCCGUGCCAGCAGCCGCCGUAA